rnacentral:tRNA from 1 species
GGGAAUAUGGCUUAGUGGUAGAGUGCUUGCCUUGCAUGCAUGAAGCCCUGGGUUCGAUUCCUCAGUACCA